GUAUCACUUUGGCAGCACAUAUACUAAAAUUGGAACAAUACAGAGAAGAUCAGCAUGACUUCUUACAUCGAUGACACACAAUUUUGUGACAUGUUCCAUAUUUUU
rnacentral:snRNA from 1 species